rnacentral:lncRNA from 1 species
AGCAUAAACUAAUGCUUGCUGAUACAAUAAAUGAUUUCUACAAUUUCUGUGUAACUCCCAGGAACAAAAUCACCUAACAAAAGGAUCAAAGAGAAAAAGACUAGGAAAUACCACAAAUGGAUGAGACACAUAAUUGAUAUUUCCCAGUUAAGAACUAUUCCAGCACCAAAGCUUCUCUGACCAUGUGGCUGCAGCAGAUUCUGUGUGAUCUUGUGUGCUGUUCACAGGAUGUGGUCUUGCUGAUAAAACAUCACCCAUCUCAUGAUCUGCAUGUUCUCAAUGGUUCUUAGCUCUGGGGUUUGUGAUGAGAUCCACUCCUGAGGUUCUGCGCAAGAAUUCAAGAGCAGUAGAGUUGUUCAGAUCUCCAAUCAACAAUCGCUUUCUAAAGUUACUAUCACUGGCCUUAGAAAUAGAGGAUUUGGAGAGGAAUUGUAAACCACAGUAAAUACUUACUUGAAGGGAGAACAUCUACAGAAACAAUUCAGCAGGGUAAGAAGAGUAAAACCCAGACUAAAACCCAGACUUGCAAAGCCAGCUCACCCACCGAGUCAGCAU